rnacentral:misc_RNA from 1 species
GAGUCUCUCAAAUGGGGUUUGUCACUCCUUUGGGGAUUUUGGGUCUUGCUGUGAAAUUCAUCUCAGCUUACCUUGAAAGCAUUAGCAAGCAUUCUCUCAAGUCUUUUGUGAUGAGGGCGUUCUAAUUGGUCAAGAACUGGUCUGUGUAGCCAGUGUCAAAGACGUCUUUUUCCAUCAUAAAAGUGACUUUAAAGUGACGCUAGCUUCCAAUCAUCCCUAUGGGAUUGGGCAUUGAGCUCCUUCAAUGUUAAU